AUGGUGGUGUGUAUGGAGUGACUUAGAAUGGUGACCUUGGAGCAGGGGGUCCAAUUCUUCUUACUGCUCUUGGGGCUGCUCUUGUGCUUGCAACAUUACCCUCGGUAAAUCGAUAAACAUUCUUCCUUCCAAUGUGGUGCGCAUCCCGAUCAAAUUGCUAAGGCCUACCAAACAGAAGAUGAGAUGCUUCCAUGUCCACAAUGUCAUGUAAAAUCUUAUAUUUAUAUUUGCCAAUGGAGAAAGG
rnacentral:misc_RNA from 1 species